rnacentral:miRNA from 1 species
UGGAAAGGUGGCCCAGCGACUAAGAACAUUUGAGCACUUGUUCUUGCAGAGGACCCACGUUCUAUUCCUAG